GCGCCUAUAGCUCAAUGGAAAGAGUGCUUGAUUCCGAUUCAAUAGGUUGUGAGUUCGAUUCUCACUAGGCGCUCCA
rnacentral:tRNA from 1 species